AUUUUUAAACAGGAUACUCAGUAGCUGCUGGGGAAUUUACUGGAGAUUCUGAAGAAGAGCUGGUUGCUGGAGUCCCAAGGGGUGCGCAGAACUUUGGCUACGUCUCAAUCAUUAAUUCUUCAGAUUUGACCUUAAUCCAGAAUUUCACCGGUGAACAGAUGGCGUCUUAUUUUGGGUACACUGUUGCAGUAUCUGAUGUUAACAAUGAUGGGUAGGUUAUCAAAUACAUUCAGCUCCACUGAACAUUCACAGAAGCAGUGCCUCGAAUUUAUUAACAAACACAGGUUUUCAGAUGCUUCAUACCUCAAAUGCUUCUCUUGACUUCUUACUUUUCUGCUUGUUUUGCAUCGGUUUAUCUUUGUGCAAUUACAGUGGCACAGCUGUUUGCUAGAUUGGGCGAGUUUAUCUUCCUGAAUAUGUAUUAAAUGCAGUACAGUAGAGCAGGAAUGUCUGAGGUCUCAGAAAACAUCCAGGUAGAGGUACAGUGAACCAAAAAAGGCAAGCUGCUGAUGGUAGAUGCAAGUCACAAUUUCAUUCUUCCGUACUUAAAAGCAAUUAAGUCUUUUCACAUGCAGAUCAUUCCAAGCCUCACUUCCCAGUUUUAAGAGCUUUUCAGUAUCACUCAUUUCAGCACCUGCUGGUUCACAAUCCUUUUUCAUCAUCUAGGGGACCAAAGAAGUGUCAGUGGCCCAUCUCUGUUAGGAUGGCCAUUGUGCUUGUCUCGGAGAAUGCUGUGUAACUGUCAACACUGGGAUUUCAGGUCCCAUUCAACAAAUCACUUGCUGACUUUGAAUUUGUGUAAAAUCAUAUUAAAUGCUUUGGAAAGUCGGGAAUUUAGUAAGCAAAUGUUGAUGCAAGCUUUCCAGGAAGGAAGUAAAAUCAGUGAGGCUCACAGCUUUGGAAGUCUGCACAGAGGUGAGCCAGGAUUAUAUUUAGAGCUGUGUGUACUCUUGUAUAUUCCAGAAUGUCUCAGCUGCACCACUCUCAUGUUCUUGCAAUUACUUAUUAGUGGCUUAAAAACAGUGCAUUAAAUAGAUUUUUUUCAUGUUACUGCUGUAUCAUUGCUUCCCAUCAGGAACUACUAAACCCUUAAAAAGUUAGGGAUACAAGUAAAGAGAAAAGUAAUAAGGUGAUCAAAUUGUAGCCA